AUGGCCAGGCUGUCUCCACCCGAGACUCAGUGAAAUUGAACUCGCUGUGAAGAUGCAGUGUACCCGCGGCAAGACGGAAAGACCCCGUGAACCUUUACUAUAGCUUGACACUGAACAUUGAGCCUUGAUGUGUAGGAUAGGUGGGAGGCUUUGAAGUGUGGACGCCAGUCUGCAUGGAGCCGACCUUGAAAUACCACCCUUUAAUGUUUGAUGUUCUAACGUUGACCCGUAAUCCGGGUUGCGGACAGUGUCUGGUGGGUAGUUUGACUGGGGCGGUCUCCUCCUAAAGAGUAACGGAGGAGCACGAAGGUUGGCUAAUCCUGGUCGGACAUCAGGAGGUUAGUGCAAUGGCAUAAGCCAGCUUGACUGCGAGCGUGACGGCGCGAGCAGGUGCGAAAGCAGGUCAUAGUGAUCCGGUGGUUCUGAAUGGAAGGGCCAUCGCUCAACGGAUAAAAGGUACUCCGGGGAUAACAGGCUGAUACCGCCCAAGAGUUCAUAUCGACGGCGGUGUUUGGCACCUCGAUGUCGGCUCAUCACAUCCUGGGGCUGAAGUAGGUCCCAAGGGUAUGGCUGUUCGCCAUUUAAAGUGGUACGCGAGCUGGGUUUAGAACGUCGUGAGACAGUUCGGUCCCUAUCUGCCGUGGGCGCUGGAGAACUGAGGGGGGCUGCUCCUAGUACGAGAGGACCGGAGUGGACGCAUCACUGGUGUUCGGGUUGUCAUGCCAAUGGCACUGCCCGGUAGCUAAAUGCGGAAGAGAUAAGUGCUGAAAGCAUCUAAGCACGAAACUUGCCCCGAGAUGAGUUCUCCCUGACUCCUUGAGAGUCCUGAAGGAACGUUGAAGACGACGACGUUGAUAGGCCGGGUGUGUAAGCGCAGCGAUGCGUUGAGCUAACCGGUACUAAUGAACCGUGAGG
rnacentral:rRNA from 1 species